UACAGAGGGUGCAAGCGUUAAUCGGAAUUACUGGGCGUAAAGCGUGCGUAGUCGGUUAUUUAAGUCGGGCGUGAAAGCCCCGGGCUCAACCUGGGAAUUGCGUUCGAUACUGGAUAGCUAGAGUUCGGCAGAGGGAAGCGGAAUUUCUGGUGUAGCGGUGAAAUGCGUAGAUAUCAGAAGGAACAUCAGUGGCGAAAGCGGCUUCCUGGACCAGAACUGACGAUCAGGCACGAAAGCGUGGGGAGCAAACAGG
rnacentral:rRNA from 1 species